GCUAGUAAUGGCAGGUCAGAAUACUGCCGUGAAUACGUUCCCGGGCCUUGUACACACCGCCCGUCACACCAUGAGAGUUGGGAAUACCCGAAGCCCGUGAGCUAACCGAAAGGGAGCAGCGGUCGAAGGUAGAAUCAAUGAUUGGGGUGAAGUCGUAACAAGGUACC
rnacentral:rRNA from 1 species